UUAAAUGGCCGCGAUAUUUUGAUCGUGCUAAGGUAGCAUAAUCAUUAGUUUUUUAAUUGAAAGCUAGAAUGAAGGGUUGGAUGAAAAAAUAGCUUUUUUAUUUUAAUUUUAUUAAAAUUUUAUUUUUAAGUUAAAAAGCUUAAAUAUUUUUAAAAGACGAGAAGACCCUAUAGAGUUUAAUAUAUAUUUUAAAAUAUUUUUUUAGAAUUAAUAUUUUAAUUUUAAAUAUUUAUUUAAUUGGGGUGAUUAAAAAAUUUAAUUAACUUUUUUUUUAUUUUUAUAUAAAUUUAUAAAUAUAUGAUCCAUUUUUAAGGAUUAUAAGAAAAAAUUACCUUAGGGAUAACAGCGUAAUUUUAUUAGAAAGUU
rnacentral:rRNA from 1 species